rnacentral:rRNA from 1 species
CCUACGGGUGGCUGCAGUGGGGAAUAUUGCACAAUGGGGGAAAGCCUGACGGAGCAACGCCGCGUGAUCGAAUGAAGGCCUUCGGGUUGUAAAGAUCUGUUGACAGGGACGAAUAAGCCAUGCGAAUAGUUUGGUGUAUGACGGUACCUGUUUAGAAAGCUCCGGCUAACUACGUGCCAGCAGCCGCGGUAAUACGUAGGGAGCAAGCGUUGUCCGGAAUUACUGGGCGUAAAGGGCGCGUAGGUGGGUGAUUAAGUCAGGUGUGAAAACUCUGGGCUCAACCUUGAGACUGCACUUGAAACUGGGUAUCUUGAGGGCAGGAGAGGAAAGUGGAAUUCCUAGUGUAGCGGUGAAAUGCGUAGAUAUUAGGAGGAACACCAGUGGCGAAGGCGACUUUCUGGACUGUACCUGACGCUGAGGCGCGAAAGCGUGGGUAGCGAACGGGAUUAGAUACCCCUGUAGUC